rnacentral:rRNA from 1 species
GCUCUGUAAGCGUAUACCAAAGUUGUUGCAGUUAAAACGCUCGUAGUCGGACGUUGGCGGGCGCGGCAAGGCGACCUCACGGUCGUUCUUGCAGCGGCCGCCUUUGUGGAGGGGGGCCGGUGGUGCUUCAUUGCCUCGCCGGGUCGCUGCCACCGUUUACUGUGAAAAAAUUAGAGUGUUCAAAGCGGGCGUUUGCCAUG